GCUAACGCAGCUGGCCUCCACCUGCUCGACGGCAUGGGUGAAGGUGCCGGGAGUGCACCCCGCCCGGGGGCCCCAAGAGCAUGUGCGAAUCGACCCAGCCCAGCUGAGCUGCGGGGCAGGCAAUGAGGCACGCAUCCUUGUAGUGGAUCAAGCAAACCUGCAGACGCAGAUUGCCUGGGAGACAAAGCAGGUGUGGGGGGGCGGAGGUUGUUACAGACCAGAGCCUGUGAGUGCCCUUGGCCCAGGCCUGGGCCCUAAAGCCCUCCAUGGGCCUGCUCGCCCUCCAAGUAAUCGCUUUGCUUGGUUCUGGAAGGAGGCCAAGGAGGUGCUGGCCUGCCUGGAGCUCAGUUUCUCCAAGAGGAAGAAGGUCCCUUCGGGGAGGCUGCAUGAACCCAGGCUCAGAGUGGCUGUGUACCUCUGUCUACCCAGGCAGCCCCCUGGGACUGGCUGAAGGAAUGAGCAAGCGGGGUCUCCGGCAAGGCUCCCACCAGCUCCCUCCCGGGUUCCAGUAACGCCAGCCCCACCCUACACUGUUGCUUAGGGCUGGCUGCCUCAUUGUUCCCCGAUUUGGUCUUUAAAAAAACUAUCAUUUAGUAUUAAAUCGUGUUCCGA
rnacentral:lncRNA from 1 species